rnacentral:ribozyme from 21 species
GGCCGCAGCACUGAGAGUACGAGCGAAGACCAGAACCAGCGCAAAGCCUAACCCGAUACAGACUAC